rnacentral:rRNA from 1 species
AUUAUAUCAGUUAUAAUUCACUUGAUCGUAUCUCUUACUUGGAUAACCGUAGUAACUCUAGAGCUAAUACAUGCAAAAAGUCCCGAUCUUGAAGAGAGGGAUGAAUUUAUUAGAUUACCAACCAACGCGGAAUAAAAGCUUCACUUCUUAGGAUGUUGAGGUUCCGAUAAAAAGGAUGAUUCACAAUAACUAAUCGAAUCGCAGAGGUCUUUAUUGACAGGCGAUGAUACAUACAAAUUUCUGCCCUAUCAACUGUCGAUGGUAGUAUAGAGGACUACCAUGGUGGUAACGGGUAACGGGGAAUUAGGGUUUGGUUCCGGAGAGGGGGCCUGAGAAAUGGCCACCACUUCCAAGGAAGGCAGCAGGCGCGCAAAUUACCCAAUCCUGACUCGGGGAGGUAGUGACAAGAAAUACCGGUACAGUGCUCUUUCGAGUACUGGAACUGGAAUGAGUACAAUUUAAAAUCAUUAACGAUCAACAAUUGGAGGGCAAGUCUGGUGCCAGCAGCCGCGGUAAUUCCAGCUCCAAUAGUGUAUAUUAAAGUUGUUGCAGUUAAAAAGCUCGUAGUUGGAUUUCGGAUAGAGGCGAUAAAAGGUCCGUCAAAUUUUGACGCUGUACCAUUAUUGCCCGUCCUAUUUAUGGGGAAAGUGCCAUUAGACUGGACCAGUUUCAGCUCUUGGAUAAACACUUCCCUAUUCAUUUACUUUGAAAAAAUUAGAGUGUUCAAAGCAGACGUAAUAUAUGUCUUGAAUACAUUAGCAUGGGAUAAUGGAAAAGGACCAUAGGUCUAUUUUUCGUUGGUUUCAUAGGCUUUGGUAAUGAUUAAUAGGGACAGUUGGGGUCACCAGUAUUUAAUUGUCAGAGGUGAAAUUCUAAGAUUUAUUAAAGACUAACUAGUGCGAAAGCAUUUGACAAGGAUGUUUUCAUUAAUCAAGAACGAAAGUUGGGGGAUCGAAGAUGAUCAGAUACCGUCGUAGUCUCAACCAUAAACUAUGCCGACCAAGGAUCCGAAGCCUGUUAAGCAUGGAUGACUCUUCGGGCACUUUGUGAGAAAUCAUAAGUAUUUGGGUUCCGGGGGGAGUAUGGUCGCAAGGCUGAAACUUAAAGGAAUUGACGGAAGGGCACCACCAGGAGUGGAACCUGCGGUUUAAUUCGACUCAACACGGGAAAACUUACCAGGUCCAGACACAGUAAGGAUUGACAGAUUGAGAGCUCUUUCUUGAUUCUGUGGGUGGUGGUGCAUGGCCGUUCUUAGUUGGUGGAGUGAUCUGUCUGGUUAAUUCCGUUAACGAACGAGACCUUAACCUAUUAAAUAGUGAUGCGUAUUAUCUGGACGCCUUGUGCUCCUUUUAUAUAUGUAGAACAACUUCUUAGAGGGACUCUUCGCUAAGAGAGCGAUUGGGAAGUUUAAGGCAAAAACAGGUCUGUGAUGCCCUUAGAUGUUCUGGGCUGCACGCGCGUUACACUGAUUACUUCAACGAGCUUUAUAUUUCCUUGCCCGAUGGGGUAUUAGGGUAAUCUUUUGAAUAUCAAACGUGAUGGGGAUAGAUUAUUGUAAUUAUUAGUCUUGAACGAGGAAUUCCUAGUAAGCGUAGUUCAUCAAACUGCGCUGAUUGCGUCCCUGCCCUUUGUACACACCGCCCGUCGCUCCUACCGAUUGAAUGGUCCGGUGAGGAUAAAAGAUGGAGGAUGAACUUUGGACCCCGUAUGGGGACCCCAAUGCAUGGCUCCAGAAUUUAUUCAAACCUUGUCAUUUAGAGGAAGGAGAAGUCGUAACAAGGUUUCC